rnacentral:rRNA from 1 species
GCCUGAUGGAGGGGGAUACACUGGAAACGGUAGCUAAUACCGCAUAACGUCGCAAGACCAAAGAGGGGGACCUUCGGGCCUCUUGCCAUCAGAUGUGCCCAGAUGGGAUUAGCUAGUAGGUGGGGUAACGGCUCACCUAGGCGACGAUCCCUAGCUGGUCUGAGAGGAUGACCAGCCACACUGGAACUGAGACACGGUCCAGACUCCUACGGGAGGCAGCAGUGGGGAAUAUUGCACAAUGGGCGCAAGCCUGAUGCAGCCAUGCCGCGUGUAUGAAGAAGGCCUUCGGGUUGUAAAGUACUUUCAGCGGGGAGGAAGGUGUUGUGGUUAAUAA